rnacentral:sRNA from 1 species
GCCAGGUGCAGUGGUGCAUGCCUGAAAUCCCAGUGACUUGGGAGGCUGAGGGAAGAGGAUCACAAGUUUGAGGCCAGCCUCAGAAGCUUAGUGAGACCCUGUCUCAA